rnacentral:rRNA from 1 species
UACGUAGGUGGCAAGCGUUGUCCGGAAUUAUUGGGCGUAAAGCGCGCGCAGGUGGUUUCUUAAGUCUGAUGUGAAAGCCCACGGCUCAACCGUGGAGGGUCAUUGGAAACUGGGGAACUUGAGUGCAGAAGAGGAAAGUGGAAUUCCAAGUGUAGCGGUGAAAUGCGUAGAGAUUUGGAGGAACACCAGUGGCGAAGGCGACUUUCUGGUCUGUAACUGACACUGAGGCGCGAAAAGCGUGGGGGAGCAAACAGG